GGGAAUAGCUCAGUUGGUAGAGCACGACCUUGCCAAGGUCGGGGUCGCGAGUUGAGCAGUUGACUUUUAAUCAAUUGGUCGCAGGUUCGAAUCCUGCACGACCCACCA
rnacentral:tRNA from 1 species